AAUUAAGUGAAGCCGCGAAUAGCUCAUUACAAUAGCCGUUGUUUCUUGGAUCCUCAAUUUACUUGGAUACCUGUGGUAAUUCUAGAGCUAAUACAUGCGACUAAGGGCCGAACUCACGUGACGCUUGCAUUUAUUAGAUCAAGACUAACCGGCUUCGGCCGUUAACUUGGUGACUCUGAAUAACUCAGCUGAUCGCACGGUCUAGUGCCGGCGACAUAUCUUUCAAGUGUCUACCUUAUCAACUGUCGAUGGUAGUUUAUGUGACUACCAUGGUUGUAACGGGUAACGGAGAAUCAGGGUUUGACUCCGGAGAGGGAGCCUGAGAAACGGCUACCACUUCUAAGGAAGGCAGCAGGCGCGCAAAUUACACAAUCUCAGCACGAGGAUGUAGUGACGAAACAUACCGAGGCGAUGCCCUUUCGGGUGUCGUCAUUGGAAUGAGUCGAAUCUAAAAAAUUCGGCAAGGAUCUAGUGGAGGGCAAGUCUGGUGCCAGCAGCCGCGGUAAUUCCAGCUCCGCAAGUGUAUAUCUAUGCUGUUGCGGUUAAAAAGCUCGUAGUUUGAUUCGCGUACUUAGCACGCAGUGUGGCCUUUCGGCUACUACUGUGAUGCGGUACAUUAUCGUCAGUUUGUCGUUGAUGCUCUUCAUUGGGUGUCAGCGGCGGCUGUCAAGUUUACUUUGAACAAAUUAAAGUGCUCAAUACAGGCGUUUCGCUUGUAUAGUUCUGCAUGGAAUAAUAGAAUAGGACUUACGUUCUAUUGUGUUGGUUUUCAGAACGAAAGUAAUGAUUAAGAGGGACAGACGGGGUCAUUCGUACUGCCACGUUAGAGGUGAAAUUCUUGGAUCGUGGCAAGACGAACUACUGCGAAAGCAUUGACAAGAAUGU
rnacentral:rRNA from 1 species